GACGAACGCUGGCGGCAGGCUUAACACAUGCAAGUCGAGCGCCCCGCAAGGGGAGCGGCGGACGGGUGAGUAACGCGUGGGAAGUCUGCCCUUUGGUGUGGGACAACCACGGGAAACUCGUGGCUAAGUACCGCAUGAGCCCGAGAGGGGAAAGCCGCAAGGCGCCGAGGGAUGAGCCCGCGUCGGAUUAGCUAGUUGGUAGGGUAACGGCCUACCAAGGCGAUGAUCCGUAGCUGGUCUGAGAGGAUGAUCAGCCACACUGGGACUGAGACACGGCCCAGACUCCUACGGGAGGCAGCAGUGGGGAAUAUUGGA
rnacentral:rRNA from 1 species